GGGCGUUUAGCUCAGUGGUAGAGCGCUGUCCUCACACGACAGAGGCCGCUGGUUCGAUUCCAGCAACGCCCA
rnacentral:tRNA from 1 species